rnacentral:lncRNA from 1 species
AUGUCCACGUUACGUACAAUCGUGCUCAUCGUUUGUCUUUCCUCCCUGAUUUUUGCUUCGCAAUCAAAGAAGCCCGGAAAGAAACCUGGAAAGAAACCGGAGCCGCCCCCUGCAAAAACUUACUUCAUAUCGACGGUGUCCGUGAACGACAAGGGAUGGAAAUGGGAGGAUGCUGAGAUAAAAAAAUGCGGAGCAAUCGAGCCUCCGGUGGGUGGAAAUGGAGCAGCAAGGAGCAGCAGUGAGCAUGUCUUCCCGGUUCCAGAAACUAAGUUUUCUCAUGGUGAUGGUGAUGCUGAUACUUGCAAUGCAAGAGUAUGCCGCCGCUGCAGGAAUUUUAAGAAACGAAAACGAGGACGCUUCGACUUUCCUUGGAAGACGGGGCCCUUUUGCCCGCAAUUCACCUGCAUUGCCUCCAUGUGGAUCACGAGAGAGCUCUAACUGUAAGGACAACGCCCGGAGGGUAUGUGCUUGCACCUACUGCAGAUGUAUAUUUUGAAUUACUUCUACGUGCCUCUUGUUGCCUGAAAUUGAAUUACGCCCGUGCAGUUCCUACUAGAGGUCGAAAUGUAUACUAGUGAAAUAAAUAAAUAUAUUAUAGCCUCUCAUGGUUUACCUAAAUACAGCA